CCUGCCGCGUGAGGGAUGAAGGCCUUUGGAUUGUAAACCUCUUUUGUCAGGGAAGAAAAUG
rnacentral:rRNA from 1 species